rnacentral:rRNA from 1 species
AGUGAACGCUGGCGGUAGGCCUAACACAUGCAAGUCGAACGGCAGCACAGUAAGAGCUUGCUCUUACGGGUGGCGAGUGGCGGACGGGUGAGGAAUACAUCGGAAUCUACUUUUUCGUGGGGGAUAACGUAGGGAAACUUACGCUAAUACCGCAUACGACCUACGGGUAAAAGCAGGGGAUCUUCGGACCUUGCGCGAUUGAAUGAGCCGAUGUCGGAUUAGCUAGUUGGCGGGGUAAAGGCCCACCAAGGCGACGACCCGUAGCUGGUCUGAGAGGAUGAUCAGCCACACUGGAACUGAGACACGGUCCAGACUCCUACGGGAGGCAGCAGUGGGGAAUAUUGGACAAUGGGCGCAAGCCUGAUCCAGCCAUACCGCGUGGGUGAAGAAGGCCUUCGGGUUGUAAAGCCCUUUUGUUGGGAAAGAAAAGCAGCAGGUUAAUACCCCGCUGUUCUGACGGUACCCAAAGAAUAAGCACCGGCUAACUUCGUG